GCGCCUGUAGCUCAGGUGGAUAGAGCGACGGACUUCGAAUCCGUAGGCCGCAGGUUCAAAUCCUGCCGGGCGCACCA
rnacentral:tRNA from 2 species